GAUGAAAGAACGUAGCGAAAUGCGAUAAGUAGUGUGAAUUGCAGAAUUCAGUGAAUCAUCGAAUCUUUGAACGCACAUUGCGCCCCUUGGUAUUCCAUGGGGCAUGCCUGUUCGAGCGUCAUUUGUACCUUCAAGCUCUGCUUGGUGUUGGGUGUUUUGUCUCGCCUCUGCGUGUAGACUCGCCUUAAAACAAUUGGCAGCCGGCGUAUUGAUUUCGGAGCGCAGUACAUCUCGCGCUUUGCACUCAUAACGGCGACGUCCAAAAGUACAUUUUUACACUCUUGACCUCGGAUCAGGUAGGGAUACCCGCUGAACUUAAGCAUAUCAAUAAGCGGAGGA
rnacentral:misc_RNA from 1 species